rnacentral:rRNA from 1 species
UACGUAGGGUGCAAGCGUUGUCCGGAAUUAUUGGGCGUAAAGAGCUUGUAGGCGGUUUGUCGCGUCUGCUGUGAAAUUUCGGGGCUCAACCCCGAACUUGCAGUGGGUACGGGCAGACUAGAGUGUGGUAGGGGAGACUGGAAUUCCUGGUGUAGCGGUGAAAUGCGCAGAUAUCAGGAGGAACACCGAUGGCGAAGGCAGGUCUCUGGGCAACAACUGACGCUGAGGAGCGAAAGCGUGGGGAGCGAACAGG